GAAGGAAAAAAAAAAAAAAAGCUGCUUUCCCUUUAAACAGCACAAAGGAUAGGAAAAACUACUGCAUUACUCCAAAUUAUUUGCAGCUUUGGUGUUGCCAACAUAGAACAGUUGCAAUUCAAGAAUAUGUUUUGAAUUAUCAUAGAUCAGUUUUUACAAAUCAGCACUCUUUGUAACAGCUUUCAAAGAAUAAAAGAAUACAGCCGUGGGAAUUCAUAUUUAUGGCUGAUGAGCUAGCAAGGUGAGCACAUCCAGGGGCUUAGACACACAAACAGGAUACCACAGGAUAUCAAGUUUCUGCUGAGCUGCAAGAGUUGCCUGUGUGUUCACUGCUCCCCCACAGCAAAUGCAAGUUUUACUUUACCAAGCACCCCAGACAAGAGAAUUUGCUUGAAGUCACAGUCAAGCUGGGAAACAUAUAUAUUUAGGACAUCAUCUCAGAAUACUGUAAUUAUAAUGUAAUUCUGCCCCCAGCUGGUUAAGACAUAGCUGACAUAGGAGACUGAAAGUGAGAGAAUACUGAACCUAUGAACUCUGCUUCUUCUCAGAUGAUGACUACAAUUUGCAUGCAAAGUAUCAGCAGCUUUACUGUUCAGCGCAGGUGCUAAUAGAUUCUAAGUUCUUUAUCUGUCAAGGAGGAGAAGAAGAAAGAAGUAAAUCAGCUUCACAGAACAAGUUUUCCAACCCUAAGUUUUAAUGAAGUUUCUAUAUCCUGGCUUUUUAUGGUUUAUGUUCCAAGCCUAUCAUUAUUCAAGGGUCUGAAUUGUUCUUUAUUUUUUUAACUCCUUUGCUUUUUAAAGUGAAAAGAAGAGAGUCAAAAGUCUUUAAUGGAAAGUUCUCCAACG
ensembl:lncRNA